CAUGUAUUGCUACAAUGAUAUCAGAAUCAACAGAUGCAGGAACUAUUAGUGUUGCUAUUGCUGUACCUAUCACUGGUCUAUUAACUGGACUCAUUACUGCAGUAAUUACUAGUAUCAUUUGUUUAAUAAUGAGGAAAAAGGGAAGGACUACCAGCUCUAAAGAAACAGACCUGUGUGGCCCUGUAUAUGAUUUACCAGUAGUAGAUAAUAAACAAUCAGAAGAAAAACACAUUGAUGUUCAACGAAACACUGCAUAUGGACAAGCAUUCUGAUAAAAUAAUUUUAAAAGUGAAAAAAAUUAUAUGGUCUUACAUAAUUAAUGAUUAUACAGUCCAGUUCCCUCAAUAACACCAUA